CAUUUCUAAGCAUAUUUACUUUGGGACUAGGUCUCAGUGGGAUUGAGUAAGCCUUCUUUUCAGACAUGGAGGAUUUGUCAGCCUUUGUGUAAAUUGAAACUGUGCUCUUGGAUCUGUUUGGGAGGGUUGUGUUCUUAACCAAUGAUUGCAGGAUUUGUCCAGAGCUCCCUGGGUUUGACUGAUGAGAUAAAAUCCCCAACUCUUUCCCUAUGUACUGUUUUUCAGCUCUGGAAAUCGGACGAUUUUGGGCAGACGUGGAUCAUGAUUCACGAACACGUGAAAUCGUUUACAUGGGGAAUCGAACCAUACGACAAGCCGAAUGCGGUCUACAUUGAGCGGCACGAACCUACAAGAUCCUCAACUAUCCUUCGCAGCACCGAUUUCUUUCAAACCAGGGAGAACAAAGAGAUCCUUCUGGAGGAGGUGGAGGACUUCCAGCUCAGAGAGAAAUAUCUAUUUGCCACCAAGUCUGUGCAUCUUUUGGGUUCGCAGCAACAGACCUCUGUCCAGCUGUGGGUCUCCUUCAACCGCAAGCCGAUGCAGGCAGCCCAGUUUGUGACCAAGCAUCCUAUUAAGGAGUACUACAUUGCGGACACAUCCGAAGACCAGGUGUUUGUGUGUGUCAGUCACAGUAACAACAGCACCAACCUCUACAUCUCAGAAGCAGAAGGCCUGAGAUUUUCACUGACUUUGGAGAAUAUCCUCUAUUACAGCCCGGGAGGAGUCGGAAGUGACACUUUGGUCAGAUACUUUGCGAACGAGCCCUUUGCGGACUUCCACCGGGUCGAGGGGGUGCCGGGCGUCUAUAUCGCCACCUUGAUCAACGGCUUGUUCAGCGAGGAGAACAUGCGCUCCGUCAUCACCUUCGACAAAGGUGGGACUUGGGAAUUUCUCCAGCCUCCAGAGUUUACUCGCUACGGCGAAAAGAUUAAUUGUGAGCUUUCCAAAGGCUGCUCACUUCACUUGGCACAGCGGCUGAGUCAGCUCCUCAACUUCCAGUUGCGCCGGAUGCCCAUCUUGUCCAAAGAGUCUGCUCCGGGACUGAUCAUUGCAACAGGUAUGUUUUGACUCCAGGUUAUGGAGCAAAAGGGAGAAAAUGACAGCCCAUAGGAUGGAUCAAUCCUCA
rnacentral:lncRNA from 11 species